rnacentral:lncRNA from 1 species
UGAGCCCCAGCAGUUCAAGACCAGCCUAGACAACAUAGUGAGACCCUGUCUCUUAAAAAAUUUUAAAAAGUUAGCCAGGCAUGGUGGCGUGUGUCUGUAGUCCCGGGUACUCAAGAAGGCUGAAGUGGGAGGAUCGCUUAAGCCCAGGAGUUUGAAGCUGCAGUGAGCUAUGAUCAUGCCACUGUACUCCAGCCUGGGCAACAGAGUAAGACCCUGACUCUAAAAAAAAAAAAAAAAAAAAAAGUUAAAAACUAAAAAAAAAAAAAAGGUGCUAACAUGUAUAUUUAAUACUACUCGGAAUUUUUUUUCUUUUUUUUUUUGAGAUGGAGUCUCACUCUGUCACCCAGGCUGGGGUGCAAUGGUGCAAUCUCAGCUCACUGCAUCCUCUGCCUCCUGGGUUCAAGUGAUUCUCCUCCCUCAGCCUCCUGAGUAGCUGGGAUUACAGGUGCCUGCCACCUGCAGAGACAGGGUUUCACCAUGUUGGCCAGGCUGUUCUCGAACUCCUGACCUCAGGUGAUCUGCCUGCCUCGGCCUCCCAAAGUGCUGGGAUUACAGGCGUGAGCCACUGCACCUGGCCUCACUUGGAUUAUUUUUUAAUUGUGGCGCUGUUUCUCCCUACAACAUGACUCUUACAGAUAGCUUCAAAAGCCUGGCUGGAUGGAUAACACCAUGGUACAAUACACGUUUUCAGACAGCCACACAGUAGACUUUUAGGCAUCAUACACUUGAGUUUUCCUUGGCUAGUUUUGACUAUAAUCAAGUUUUUCAUGCUGAGAUGAAGCUUUACAUGGAAAGCUGCUAACUGCCAAUUUACAACUGUGUCAUUUGAAAUUCCAUAAACAUUUCUUCUUUUGGCAGCAUUUAUAAAUAACAAAAAAGUUGUAUUCUAGCUUCUAACCAUCCUUUGUGAAUAAGAAGUGUGGCAUUGUGGAGGUACAGAAGACUUCAGCUCUCAUAUAUAGUACCUGCCAUAAAUUAAAGUAUGCUAAAAUUUUUUUUUUUUUUAACUUUAUAGAGAUGAGGUCUCACUGUGUUGCCCAGGCUGGUCUCAAACCCCUAGCCUCAAGCAAUCCUCUUGCCUCAGCCCCCUAAAGUGUUGGGAUUACAGGCAUGAGCCACCAUGCCCAGCUGAAUGUUAUACUUUGUAGCUCAGUAAAUUGAACUAUGCUAGUUUGUUAAAUUUUACCAUUAUUCACUUAGAGAAAAUCACAAACAAAAUUUAAAAUCUCAAUUUUCUUUGAGGCAAGGGUCUUGCUAUAUUGUCCAGGCUGGUCUUGAACUUGUGGCUCAGGUGAUCCAACCACCUCAGCCUCUGAGUAGCUGGGAUUCUCACCCUUUUUGAGUACAGAAGUAAAUAAGUACUUGCACUAAAAUUUUGUAUUUUUUCUUAAACAUGGUUAAGAUUAUUGUUUUCAUCAUAAUUAACCUAUCAUGUCUAUUUGAUCCCAUAGAGCCAAUUGAAAUCUGGAGAAAUUUGGUCAGUUAACCUGUUGGUUUUUAUAUAUGGCACCAACUGAUCUCUACCAGAUUGACACAGUAGAUCAGCUGUUUUAAUGCUGAAAAGAGAAGCUUAUAUAAAUACAGUGCACAUCUAUUAAUGCUUCUCACGUCUGUAGUUCUGUUUCAGGCAGAGGUUUUUUGGCAUAGGACCUGUAUUCAGCUCACACUUUCCUAGGCUGGCUAUGAGUAGAAUGCCUCGUGGCAGUAGCUACACUCAUACAUAGGCAUUGAUCUUAGAUCUGUGUAGAGUUUUAAAUCAUUGGCAUCUUUUAGGCCUAAAUUUUAUAUUUGCUGGAUUUUUUUUUUUUUUUUUUUUGAGAUGGAGUCUUGCUCUGUCACCCAGGCUGGAGUGCAGUGGUGCAUCUCUGCUCACUGCAAGCUCCGCCUCCCGGGUUCACACCAUUCUCCUGCCUCAGUGUCCCACGUAGCUGGGACUACAGGCACCCGCCACCACUCCCGGCUAAUUUUUUGUAUUUUUUCAGUAGAGACGGGGUUUCAUCGUGUUAGCCAGCAUGGUCUCAAUCUCCUGACCUCAUGAUCCACCUGCCUCGGCCUCCCAAAGUGCUGGGAUUACAGGCGUGAGCCACCACACCCAGCCUGGAAUUUUUUUAAAGCAGUAAAUGUAAACGCUAACUUUAGAAAAUAUUAAUAAUAUGAUUAAUUUUAGCCAGAAUAAAAUAAUUUGCCAUCUUUAUAGAAAUCUGGCCACGUAGGAAUUAGCAUUCUUAAAAUUGGCACUGAAGCCAGAAGAUGGAUAGUGAAAUUGGUCACAUGCAUAGACAGCUACCAAGUCCAGUGUUUAAUGGUGCCCAGUGAAGAGGAUUGAAGCACACACCAGAGAAGCAGCUGUAACUGGGUCAGAAGAAAAGUGUCAGGCUGAGACUUAGUUUUAGGUAGAAAAAUGAGCUGCUUGCCUCUACAUUCAUUAUUGGCUCAUCUCAUAAACUCAAAUGAGGGGAUCAGAAGCUGGCAGAAGGGACGGACUCAUGCUUGUUGAUCCGGAUGACCUCUGUUUCAAGGUUCCAGCAAUGAGUUAGCUUACAUUUUACAAGGUCUCCCAAAGUGAAAUGUAGUAGUCUUUACUUAGUGACAGACUAAUUUACAACUAUGUAAUUCUUUUAAGUUUGUAAUUAAAAUUUCUUCUGAAUUAUUAAUGGCUUUAUUGACAUGAUGUUAAUAAAGCCUCUCAUCUUGCUGUUAAGUAUUGUAGUGAGAAAAUCAGCUGACCUGGAAACCAUGGGGAUUGGUUCUAAUGAGCCAUAAAUGCUUCCCCUCUUCCUUCAGCACUAGUAGACUACCAGCUUUAGGCAUUUAACCAAACGAAUUGGAGACAGAAAAUAUUAAAAUCCAGCCAUCCUAUAUCAGAUGAUGAACUCAUUUCCAGACUAACUACCCAAGAAAGCAAGUUAAACACUGUAAAAGCCUAAAACGGGGCAAGUUGGGAUUAGCUUUUAAAAUGCCUGCCUUGAAAAACACAUUAUUCUGUGAGGUUUUUUUUUUUUCUUUAAAGUUGUGCAAAUUUGAUUCGGAAAAAUAGCUUAAUAGGUUUGUAUAGGGCACGGGAGAAGGGGUUGUGUGCAUAAAUGUAUGAUGAUUAUUUUAAGUGUGUGCUUCAGCAGCGACAACAAACAGAUGAAGAUACGUGAUACUGACUAAACAGGCAAGAGUAUUUUCUAGUCUCAGUUCUUCUAGUCAAUGCCUAAAGUAUUAGAAAAAGUACUGAAACAAUUCCCAAAGCAUCAGGAAUUUCCAUUUCUAGUCAAAAUAUUGUUUGUUUUCUUCCAACAGUUCUGUUAAAUAAAAGGAAAAGUUAUAAAGUUUUAGAGAUAUAUUUAAUGUCACAGGUUAAUAAUGUGUGUAUAGAAGCCUUCUCUAACCUUGUUUGUAAAUCUACCAAACCUCACCUCAAACAGUGUUCUCCUUAAACCCAUCCUUUUUGUGCAAAGCUACUGCUUCCUGAUGUCCAUAACUCAAGGCAUUUUUUUUUUCGCUUGGUGUAGUUUCUGAAAUGUGAUUAUUUAAUGUUUGCCAAGAUGUUUGGAAUAGAGUAACUUUCAACUAAUCAAUUGAUUGUGACUUUCUUCUUUUGUAGUUUUUGUUUUUAAAAUUGCUUUCUGUCAAACCCAUCUAUAAUUCCCCCAGAAUAUAUUUAUAUGGACUAAGGCUUACCAAAAAUAAGGAAAAUCGGAGAAACUGCCACCGCCAGGAGGAGCCAAGGGGACAUGAUGACUAAAUGUAAUCUGGUUUCAUGGAGGGGCUACCUAGAAAAAAGACAUUAAGGGAAGACUAAGGAAACUUGAAUAAAGUAUGGGCUCUCCUUAAUAAUAGUGUAACAAAUUCAUUGUAACAAAUGCCCCAUACUAACGUAAGAUGUGAAUAAUCAGGGAAACUGGAUGUGGGACAUAUGGGAACUCCACUAUCUUCAAAAUUUUUCUGUAAAUGUAGAACUGUUCUAAAACAAUAAAGACUAUAAAAAAAUAAUAAAGACUAUUAGAAAAAAAAAAAGGCUGGGCUUAUGCUUGUAAUCCCAAGACUUUGGGAGGCCAAGGCAGGAAGAUCACUUGAGGGCAGAAAUUUGACCAGCCUGGGCAACAUAGUAAGACCUCAACUCUACAACAACAACAACAACAACAAUAAAAUAGCCAGGCAUGGUGGUGCACACCUAUACUCCCAGCUACUUGGGAGGCUGAGGUGGGAGGAUCAGCUGAGCCCCAGAAGUCAAGGCUGCAGUGAGUUGUGAAUGCACAACUGCACUUCAGACUGGUUGACAGAGA